GCGGCUGCUAUAAUGCAGUCGAGCGGAUGACGGGGAGCUUGCUCCCCUGAUUCAGCGGCGGACGGGUGAGUAACACGUGGGCAACCUGCCUGUAAGAUCGGGAUAACUCCGGGAAACCGGGGCUAAUACCGGAUGGUUCCUUCCUCCGCAUGGAGGAAGGCGGAAAGACGGUUUCGGCUGUCACUUACAGAUGGGCCCGCGGCGCAUUAGCUAGUUGGCGGGGUAACGGCCCACCAAGGCAACGAUGCGUAGCCGACCUGAGAGGGUGAUCGGCCACACUGGGACUGAGACACGGCCCAGACUCCUACGGGAGGCAGCAGUAGGGAAUCUUCCGCAAUGGACGAAAGUCUGACGGAGCAACGCCGCGUGAGCGAAGAAGGCCUUCGGGUCGUAAAGCUCUGUUGUAAGGGAAGAACAAGCGCCGGUUAACUGCCGGCGCCCUGACGGUACCUUACCAGAAAGCCACGGCUAACUACGUGCCAGCAGCCGCGGUAAUACGUAGGUGGCAAGCGUUGUCCGGAAUCAUUGGGCGUAAAGCGCGCGCAUGCGGUUUCUUAAGUCUGAUGUGAAAGCCCACUGCUCAACCG
rnacentral:rRNA from 1 species